GUACGGGGGGGGCAAGCGUUGUUCGGAAUUACUGGGCGUAAAGGGCUCGUAGGUGGCCAACUAAGUCAGACGUGAAUCCCUCGGCUUAACCGGGGAACUGCGUCUGAUACUGGAUGGCUUGAGUUCGGGAGAGGGAUGCGGAAUUCCAGGUGUAGCGGUGAAAUGCGUAGAUAUCUGGAGGAACACCGGUGGCGAAGGCGGCAUCCUGGACCGACACUGACACUGAGGAGCGAAAGCCAGGGGAGCAAACGGG
rnacentral:rRNA from 1 species